GUAGGUGGCAAGCGUUGUCCGGAAUUAUUGGGCGUAAAGCGCGCGCGGGCGGUUCUUUAAGUCUGAUGUGAAAGCCCACGGCUCAACCGUGGAGGGUCAUUGGAAACUGGAGAACUUGAGUACAGAAGAGGAAAGCGGAAUUCCACGUGUAGCGGUGAAAUGCGUAGAGAUGUGGAGGAACACCAGUGGCGAAGGCGGCUUUCUGGUCUGUAACUGACGCUGAGGCGCGAAAGCGUGGGGAGCAAACAGGGAUUAGAUACCCUGGUAGUCCACGCCGUAAACGAUGAGUGCUAAGUGUUAGGGGGGUUUCCGCCCCCCUUAGUGCUGCAGCUAACGCAUUAAGCACUCCGCCUGGGGAGUACGGCCGCAAGGCUG
rnacentral:rRNA from 1 species